GCAGGGCUAGGCUGCAGUGACAACCCCCGUUCGUGACCAUGGGAGAGUCAGGUGCCUCUGCUUCACUAGCACAGGGCCUCCUGCGGUCACGGGCAGUGGGAGAGAGAUAACGAGGCCUUCUAGCUGUUAAUUUCCUUGGCCUACACGUGGUAUAUCCGUCAUUUCUACUUAGAGGCCCAUGGACCAAAACUAGCAAUGCGGCCCCAAAGUAACUGUAAGGGAGCCUGAGAAAUGAAGGACUUGGAUUAUCUGGGGAGCCACAAAAUUAUUCUCCUUUGUAAUUUCCAUGUGUCACUGAACUUAAGAUACCAUUAUUUUAUAAAUCAUCAAGGUAGAGAAACUGCUACCAGUUACAACAGCGAUGAGCAAUCAAGUGUUUUCAAGAGUCUAUUAUGAAAUGUGCAAACAUGCAGAAAAGGUGUUAAAUUGUGGGGAAAGUGUGCCUCUUAAAACCAGCGAAUUACAGCAAUCUCCAAGAUCCUUUGUGCCUCUGCGUGGCCCACCCCUCCUCGCAAUGGCGGACCUGGGAUUUACUGACCUGUGAUCUGUCUCUAGGCUGCCUUUUCUCAACAUUUGUCUAUAAAUGGAAAGUACAAUGUAGGAGGCUGAAUCACUACCCCCAAAGGUGUUCACAUUCUAAUCCCUAGAACCUGUCAAUCUGUGCUACCUGACGGGAGGGAAACGGGGUUUUGCCCAUGUGAUUAAGGACCUCGAGAUAGGGAGGUUAUCCUGGAUUAGCCCGGAAGACCGGAUGUUCAGGGUCCUUUCCAGAGUGAGGCAGAAGGAUGGCAGUCAGAGAAGGACAUGUGAUCCGCGUGAUGACAAAAUCACAGAGAAACUGGAGGCUGCAGGUACAGAGAGGUCCAAUCAGAUCAGAUCACCAGGGAGAAGCAGGCAGGCGCUGCAGGAGGAGGUUGCCGAGAAAAUGGUAAAUAGCCCAGGACCAGAUUGGCUGGGAAACCGCCUGCCUCCAGAGCACAUGGAAUUAUGGGCAAGAAGAUCUGAAAUAAAAGAAGGGCUCUCUGUGGCUCUUCUCCCUCCAGGAUGGCCGGGGAGCUUGCUGGAGCUGCCUGCGUUUCUCAGCGGAGGGUAAUUUGGAUGGAUUUUGGAUGAGGGCGGCGGCAGGCAGCGGGUCGCCAGUUGCUGUUCGGUAACGGGACCACUCGGCUGGCUUUGAAGACGGAGGCAGGGCCCCCGAGCCAAGGGAUGCAGUCGCCUCCAGCGCAGGACCCCGCCAAGACACGGAGCGCCCCCUGGAGCCCGCCGAGGAAACAGCUCCCCUAACGCCUUGACUGUGGCCACAGGAGACUGGCUCCCGGUCUCUGCCUGGGAGGAGUGUAGGAAGAAAAUAAACGUGUGUUGUC